UCCAUGGAGAAUCCCUUAAGUGUAGAGAAUAAAGAAUUAAUCUACACCAUUAAAUCCCCUCAAUCAGACGGUUUAAACAAAAUAAAUAUCUAAAUCUUAAAUGUAUUUAUCAAAAUCCGAAAUUACAUUUUAUUUCCAAUUAAGGGUAUUCAAGUAAAUUGGCAAUAGUUGAAAAAUGGUAUACCUAAAAAAACUCCUCAUUCACCCACUUUCAUUCCCCCAUUGCCGACUCUUUCUCUCUCUCUAAUCUAUCAUUCUAUUUCUUCUUCGGUGGACGGCGAGAACUUGACGCCUGAGUCGUAGAAGAGGACCAGGGCCACAGUCGGCGCGGAGGGAGGCGUCUUCGGCCUUGCAGGUGAAGGAGGUCGGGGUCUGCUCGCACAUCUCAAAAAAUCAGACGCAGCCAUGGCGCAACACCAGCUUGUUGGCGGCGUGGAUCUGAGCAGGAAGCCGACACCAAGAUCUGCUACAGUAAUUAGUUGAUUCUAUGGAAAUCGUUCGUAGAUUUGUGCAUGGUUUGCCAUUUUCUUAGUUUGAAUUUCUCCUUCUAUUUGUUUCUAAUUUCGUUGGUUCUAGUAUUUGUCUUUCAAUGUUCAAGGAUUUAUCAUUUAUCUGUAAUUCAUUUGUUUGCAGAGGAUCUUCAUUCUGCAUUUUCUGUUAUUGUGUAUUCAUAUGGAAUUUGCUCCUACCGAAGAGGGGAUGAAUUGUGUUAUGUUAAUAUGAAGUAUUGGAUUUGUAUAA